GGGUUGUGAGGUUAAGCGACUAAGCGUACACGGUGGAUGCCCUGGCAGUCAGAGGCGAUGAAGGGCGUGCUAAUCUGCGAUAAGCGCCGGUAAGGUGAUAUGAACCGUUAUAACCGGCGAUACCCGAAUGGGGAAACCCAGUGUGACUCGUCACACUAUCAUUAACUGAAUCCAUAGGUUAAUGAGGCGAACCGGGGGAACUGAAACAUCUAAGUACCCCGAGGAAAAGAAAUCAACCGAGAUUCCCCCAGUAGCGGCGAGCGAACGGGGAGGAGCCCAGAGCCUGAAUCAGCAUGUGUGUUAGUGGAAGCGUCUGGAAAGGCGCGCGAUACAGGGUGACAGCCCCGUACACAAAAGCGCAUGUGCUGUGAGCUCGAUGAGUAGGGCGGGACACGUGAUAUCCUGUCUGAAUAUGGGGGGACCAUCCUCCAAGGCUAAAUACUCCUGACUGACCGAUAGUGAACCAGUACCGUGAGGGAAAGGCGAAAAGAACCCCGGCGAGGGGAGUGAAAAAGAACCUGAAACCGUGUACGUACAAGCAGUGGGAGCACCCUUUGGGUGUGACUGCGUACCUUUUGUAUAAUGGGUCAGCGACUUAUAUUCUGUAGCAAGGUUAACCGUAUAGGGGAGCCGAAGGGAAACCGAGUCUUAACCGGGCGUUAAGUUGCAGGGUAUAGACCCGAAACCCGGUGAUCUAGCCAUGGGCAGGUUGAAGGUUGGGUAACACUAACUGGAGGACCGAACCGACUAAUGUUGAAAAAUUAGCGGAUGACCUGUGGCUGGGGGUGAAAGGCCAAUCAAACCGGGAGAUAGCUGGUUCUCCCCGAAAGCUAUUUAGGUAGCGCCUCGUGAAUUCAUCUCCGGGGGUAGAGCACUGUUUCGGCUAGGGGGCCAUCCCGGCUUACCAACCCGAUGCAAACUGCGAAUACCGGAGAAUGUUAUCACGGGAGACACACGGCGGGUGCUAACGUCCGUCGUGAAGAGGGAAACAACCCAGACCGCCAGCUAAGGUCCCAAAGUCAUGGUUAAGUGGGAAACGAUGUGGGAAGGCCCAGACAGCCAGGAUGUUGGCUUAGAAGCAGCCAUCAUUUAAAGAAAGCGUAAUAGCUCACUGGUCGAGUCGGCCUGCGCGGAAGAUGUAACGGGGCUAAACCAUGCACCGAAGCUGCGGCAGCGA
rnacentral:rRNA from 1 species